GCAUCCAUGGCUGAAUGGGUUAAAGCGUCCAACUCAUAAUUGGCGAAUUCGUAGGUUCAAUUCCUACUCUUUGAUGCA